ACCUACGGGGGGCAGCAGUGGGGAAUAUUGCACAAUGGGGGAAACCCUGAUGCAGCAACGCCGCGUGAAGGAAGACGGUUUUCGGAUUGUAAACUUCUGUUCUUAGUGAAGAAGAAUGACGGUAGCUAAGGAGCAAGCCACGGCUAACUACGUGCCAGCAGCCGCGGUAAUACGUAUGGGGCAAGCGUUAUCCGGAUUUACUGGGUGUAAAGGGAGCGUAGGCGGCAGGGCAAGCCUGAUGUGAAAGCCCGGGGCUCAACCCCGGGACUGCAUUGGGAACUGCCCCGCUCGAGUGCCGGAGGGGG
rnacentral:rRNA from 1 species